AGAGUUUGAUCCUGGCUCAGGACGAACGCUGGCGGCGUGCUUAACACAUGCAAGUCGAACGGAUCACCCUCUUCGGGGGGUGGUGAGUGGCGAACGGGUGAGUAACACGUGGGUAACCUGCCCUUGGCUCUGGGAUAACUCCGGGAAACCGGGGCUAAUACCGGAUACGACCUUCUGGUGCAUGCCGGGGGGUGGAAAGUUUUUCGGCCAGGGAUGGGCCCGCGGCCUAUCAGCUUGUUGGUGGGGUGAUGGCCUACCAAGGCGUUGACGGGUAGCCGGCCUGAGAGGGCGACCGGCCACACUGGGACUGAGACACGGCCCAGACUCCUGCGGGAGGCAGCAGUGGGGAAUAUUGCGCAAUGGGCGAAAGCCUGACGCAGCGACGCCGCGUGGGGGAUGACGGCCUUCGGGUUGUAAACCCCUUCCACCAUCCACCAAGUCCCGGGUUUCUGCCCGGGGUGAGUGUAGGUGGGGAAGAAGCACCGGCUAACUACGUGCCAGCCGCCGCGGUAAUUC
rnacentral:rRNA from 1 species